GCCGGCCGCUUCCCAGCCAGGCUGAAAGGGCUCGGGAAGCUAGCUGGCCUUG
rnacentral:miRNA from 1 species